UGCGUAGGCGGCUUUGCAAGUCAGAUGUGAAAUCUAUGGGCUCAACCCAUAAACUGCAUUUGAAACUGUAGAGCUUGAGUGAAGUAGAGGCAGGCGGAAUUCCCCGUGUAGCGGUGAAAUGCGUAGAGAUGGGGAGGAACACCAGUGGCGAAGGCGGCCUGCUGGGCUUUAACUGACGCUGAGGCACGAAAGGCUGGUAGCAAACA
rnacentral:rRNA from 1 species